AUUCUACGGGCUACCUGGUUCUGCAAUACAUGUCUUGGUGGAAAAGUGCCCGGAGUGUGGAGAUUUGUAAGGAUCACGUUAAGAUGCGGCAGAACUUCAUCAUCGAUCUAUUGUCAUCGGACUUGAAUGCUUAUCGAAAACUGCUUCCUGCUGAAGUAAAAAAAAAUUUUAGCAACAUCAAUGGAUGGGAUAUAAAAUAGAAUUCACUAUAGUUUUGUUUAUAUACGAGUGUGCUUCAGUGACAAUGACAUAUCUAUGGAUUUAUUUGGAACUAUAUGUUAUUUAUUGGUAUGUA